rnacentral:rRNA from 1 species
AGUGAACGCUGGCGGUAGGCCUAACACAUGCAAGUCGAACGGCAGCACAGAGGAGCUUGCUCCUUGGGUGGCGAGUGGCGGACGGGUGAGGAAUACAUCGGAAUCUACUCUGUCGUGGGGGAUAACGUAGGGAAACUUACGCUAAUACCGCAUACGACCUACGGGUGAAAGCAGGGGACCUUCGGGCCUUGCGCGAUUGAAUGAGCCGAUGUCGGAUUAGCUAGUUGGCGGGGUAAAGGCCCACCAAGGCGACGAUCCGUAGCUGGUCUGCGAGGAUGAUCAGCCACCCUGGAACUGAGACACGGGCCAGACACCUACGGGAGGCAGCAGUGGGGGAUAUUGGACAAUGGGCGCAAGCCUGAUCCAGCCAUACCGCGUGGGUGAAGAAGGCCUUCGGGUUGUAAAGCCCUUUUGUUGGGAAAGAAAUCCAGCUGGCUAAUACCCGGUUGGGAUGACGGUACCCAAAGAAUAAGCACCGGCUAACUUCGUGCCAGCCGCCGCAGUAA